CGGGCCAUAGCUCAGUAGGUAGAGCGCCAGGCUGGGGGUCUGGAGGCCGUGGGUUCGAGACCCGCUGGCCCGA
rnacentral:tRNA from 1 species